rnacentral:rRNA from 1 species
GAUUAUAUUAAUGAUUAUUUUUAUUAUUUUGAUAUAUUUAAUUAGUAUUAUGAGUGAAAUUUAUUUAGUUUUAAGAGAUUAUUGUACUGUGGGGGAUAUGAGAUUAUUUAUGAAGAAUAUUAGGUUAUUUAUUACCUUUUGUAUUAGGGUUUGUUAAUGUUAUUAAAUGUUAAAUUUAUUCUCGAUUAAUAUCGGGCUAUUGUUUAUGUUUGUUACGUUUAUUGCAUAAAACUAAUUAGUAAUUAAUAGUUAUGAAAUAUUAUUCAAGUUAUUGUUUAUCUAGUUUCCUGAGAAAAAUAAUGAAUGAUAUUUGUAUUAUUACUAUAAGUAGGGAUUAGCUUAUUUAUUGUUUAUAUAAUGAUUUGGGGCGUUUCUUUAAUUAAGUUGAAAGUGCUUAUUUGUAUGGUGUUAUUACUAGUUGUGGGUUUAUUUUAUAUCUUUUAAAGAUUAUGUAUAGAUUUGGGGUGUCAGUAAAAUUUAGAUCUGAUGAUAUUAUGAUUAAAUUAGUAAUAUGUUUAUUAUAACUGCGUAAGGUUUAAGAUAUAUGAUUGUAUUUAGUAGAUUUAUUUAAAAUGAAGAAUUAGGCAAAUUAACUCUUGACUGUUUAGCAAAAACAUUGUUUUUUGUUAAUAUAAGAAAUACGUUCUGCCCACUGCUAUUAGGUGAAGGGCUGCAGUAUUUUGACUGUAUGAAGGUAGCAUAAUCAUUAGCUUUUUAAUUGGGGGCUGGUAUGAAGGUGAAACAGGGGUUAACUAUUUUAUUUUAAUAUAAUGAAUUUUAUUUUUAUGUGAAAAAUCAUAAUUGGAUUAAAGGGACAAGAAGACCCUAGUAAGUUUUAUUCUUUAAUUUGAUGAGGGUAUAGGAUUUAUAAUUUAUGCAAUUUGUUUUGGGGGGUUUGACUGGGGCGGUAUGUUGGAAACAUUAUUUAUUUUUUAACUUUUGAUGACGUUUUUAGACCUAAUUGGUUUAGUUGAAUGAAAAAUUACUGUAGGGAUAACAGCGUAAUUUUUCUUAAGAGUUCUAAUUGACAGAAAA